ACGAACGCUGGCGGCGUGCCUAACACAUGCAAGUCGAGCGGAGAUGCCAAGGAGCAAUCCAAGGUGUCUUAGCGGCGGACGGGUGAGUAACACGUGGGUAACCUACCCCCAAGGAGGGGGAUAACAGGUCGAAAGGCCUGCUAAUACCGCAUAAAGCUUAUGUAUCGCAUGAUACAUAAGCCAAAGGAGGAAUCCGCCUUGGGAUGGGCCCGCGGCCCAUUAGCUAGUUGGUGAGGUAACGGCUCACCAAGGCGACGAUGGGUAGCCGGCCUGAGAGGGUGGUCGGCCACACUGGGACUGAGACACGGCCCAGACUCCUACGGGAGGCAGCAGUGGGGAAUAUUGCGCAAUGGGGGAAACCCUGACGCAGCGACGCCGCGGGAGCGAAGAAGGCCUUCGGGUUGUAAAGCUCUGUCUUCCCUGACGAAGAAAGUGACGGUAAGGGAGGAGGAAGCCACGGCUAACUACGUGCCAGCAGCCGCGGUAAUACGUAGGUGGCGAGCGUUGUCCGGAAUUACUGGGCGUAAAGGGUGCGUAGGCGGCUCCUUAAGUGAGGUGUGAAAUCCCUGGGCUCAACCCAGGAACUGCACUUCAAACUGGGGAGCUAGAGUGCAGGAGAGGAAAGCGGAAUUCCCGGUGUAGCGGUGAAAUGCGUAGAGAUCGGGAGGAACACCAGUGGCGAAGGCGGCUUUCUGGACUGUAACUGACGCUGAGGCACGAAAGCGUGGGGGAGCAAACAGGAUUAGAUACCCUGGUAGUCCACGCUGUAAACGAUGAGUGCUAGGUGUGGGAGGCGUAGCCUUCCGUGCCGCAGUUAACA
rnacentral:rRNA from 1 species